GGCGUGGUAGCUCAGUUGGUUAGAGCGCAGGAUUCAUAACCCUGAGGUCGGGAGUUCAAAUCUCCCUCACGCCACCA
rnacentral:tRNA from 1 species